AUAAAGAUAUUGGCAGAGCUACAAUUAAAAUACUGCAUUCCCUUAAUGUUUAAUUAAAAAGGAGACAUAAAGUAACAGAGUACACAAAGUAUAAUGCUUCUAAAAGAAGUCAUUAUCCAAUCUAUACUAUUCAAAUAUCAGCAAGGAGUGAAUGAAUCACUGAAUCACUUAAUGUAUUCUUAUAGUACAGCCAAAGAGAUGCACACACAUUAACAGUUAUCACUAGAAUGUAAAUAUGAACACAUCCACACGCAUCUCUCCCAGUAUACUUCCUUCUGCCCCUCUGCGGCCAGUCGAAUGAGUAAGUCCUGACAUACAUUUCUCAGAGACAGCCUAACACUUCCAUGACCAAAAUGCUUCCUUCCUAUCAAUUAUAACAACAUCAAAAACUUAGAAACUGGUUAAUUCAGUAGCUGUACAUUGUGUCAUACACUGUCAUCUCAGGACAUCCAAAAGGCUUAGAUGUUACCAAAUAAUGAACUUGUCCACAACAAACACAGGUACUUUAUAAAAAUGUACAUAUAGACUUAUGUGUAUAACGUAAAACUGUCUUCUAGAUGUGGAGAUACUAGCAAAAAGCCCUUCCUUUCAUCCCUCCUCUGCUCCCUCCACCAUUUCAAUGACUAAAUACAGGACUACAUCCAGCUCCAAGAGGCAGAUUAACAGACACUCCCAGAACAGUCCUUCCUAAAAACUAACAAAAGGGCAUUUAUAAAGGAAUUAUUUUACUACUUCCACUUUUAAUAUACUUUGGGCAUUAGGACUUGGUUUAUCCUUUAACACACAGCAAUAUUAACUAAAAUGCACAUACAGAAUAAUGGUUAGACAAUCUGAAUUUGUCUUAAAAACUCAUGGGCACAGAACCCUUCUCUCAUUUCCCCCCACCCUCCACUCCCCGCAGUGAACACUCUCCAAGACAUCAAGUUUAACACUUCCAUUCCCCAAAUAUAACCAUUCCUGUAAAUUAACAAAAUUUAAAGGGUGUUGUUACUUUAACUCUCUACUUCUAACAUAUUGUUCACUUUCAAACAUCUAGAAGACUAGAUGUUUCAAAAUUUGCCCACUACAUACAUAGUAUCACUGAAGGAACAUUCUCGCCUAGAACCCUUCCUCUUUUCACCUCUUAUCAACCCACUGGAAAGUAUAAGCAUCUGUCAUGCUUAGAGGGGAUUUUAACAAUUUCACUUCCUCUAGUUGUUUUCAGAACAGCACAUGUCUGAACUACAGUCACACUUCACUCUAAAAAUAUGAAUCCAUGACUCCCUAUGCAAAACCUAAAGCUACAUCUCCUGAACUUUCACACAGUGAUCCAGAAGAUAGUCUUCUACACUGAGGAAGGAGUAAAUAAUGAAGCAAAAGAUCAAUAGUCUCUGACAUACCUUUCUUUCCACCACUCAGUUCCUUCCCAUUAACUUGUGUAUUUGAUCACAAAUUUUGGGAAAUAGAGUACAAGAUUGGGCAGGGGAUGAUGAAAUGAGGAGGUAAGGGAACUAAUGAAGGGGAGAGGGCAUCAGGGGAUCCUUAGAAGUUUUCUGAGAUAAGCAAAAGACUGCAGGGUACAACACGAGGGGCAGGAAUGAAACUAUGAUAAAGACAGGCAAAAGCAGUGAUAUGAAAUAAGAAAUUACUAUUCUUAUCAUAACUUCCUCACCUCAUUCCUUUCUUAUUCUCCACUACAGGACUCUUGUUGAAGAUCUAUAACACCCUGUUGAGGAUCUAGAGCACCCAUCUGAAGACCCACAGCACCCACUUGCCACUUUUCCCCCACCACAGGAUUUCUUCCCAGUGACUGUUCUCUGCUCUCCUUGCCAUAUUCCAAUUAGAAUUCCACUAAUUCUAAUACAUGCCCUUCUCUAAUAUGUUUCCCUGGGAAGAAUCUAACUAAGUCUCAGCAGAUGUUCCCAAUUAAUUUUAUUAUCAAUCCUAAGAGGUCAUGCAAUUUAACAGGAAUUACAUUCAC